GACAGAGGGGGCAAGCGUUGCUCGGAAUCACUGGGCGUAAAGGGCGCGUAGGCGGGAUGGCAAGUCGGUCGUGAAAUCCUUCGGCUCAACCGAAGAACGUCGGCCGAUACUGCCGUUCUUGAGGGAUGCAGAGGAGAUUGGAAUUCCCGGUGUAGCGGUGAAAUGUGUAGAGAUCGGGAGGAACACCGGUGGCGAAGGCGGUUCUCUGGGACGGUACUGACGCUGAGACGCGAAAGCGUGGGGAGCGAACAGG
rnacentral:rRNA from 1 species